GAUGAACGCUAGCGGCAGGCCUAAUACAUGCAAGUCGAACGGUAAGGCCCUUUCGGGGGUACACGAGUGGCGGACGGGUGCGUAACGCGUAUGCAACAUGCCUUCCAGCGGGGGAUAUACCAGGGAAACUUGGCGCAAUACCCCAUAGAAUUACGGGACCGCAUGGUCUUGUGAUUAAAACUCCGGUGCUGGGAGAUUGGCAUGCGUGACAUUAGCUAGUUGGCGGGGUAACGGCCCACCAAGGCGACGAUGUCUAGCUGGUCUGAGAGGAUGAUCAGCCACACGUGGGACUGAGACACGGCCCAGACUCCGUACGGGAGGCAGCA
rnacentral:rRNA from 1 species